rnacentral:rRNA from 1 species
UACGUAGGGUGCGAGCGUUAAUCGGAAUUACUGGGCGUAAAGCGUGCGCAGGCGGUUUUGUAAGCCAGGGGUGAAAUCCCCGGGCUCAACCUGGGAAUGGCAUUUGGGACUGCAAGGCUGGAGUGUGGCAGAGGAGACUGGAGUUCCUGGUGUAGCAGUGAAAUGCGUAGAUAUCGGGAGGAACACCAGUGGCGAAGGCGACUACCUGGCCUGUUCUUGACGCUGAGGCGCGAAAGCUGGGGGAGCAAACGGG